rnacentral:rRNA from 1 species
AACGAACGCUGGCGGCAUGCCUAACACAUGCGAGUCGAACGAGACCUUCGGGUCUAGUGGCGCACGGGUGCGUAACGCGUGGGAACCUGCCCUUAGGUUCGGAAUAACUCAGAGAAAUUUGAGCUAAUACCGGAUAAUGUCUUCGGACCAAAGAUUUAUCGCCUUUGGAUGGGCCCGCGUAGGAUUAGCUUGUUGGUGGGGUAAUGGCCUACCAAGGCGACGAUCCUUAGCUGGUCUGAGAGGAUGAUCAGCCACACUGGGACUGAGACACGGCCCAGACUCCUACGGGAGGCAGCAGUGGGGAAUAUUGGACAAUGGGCGAAAGCCUGAUCCAGCAAUGCCGCGUGAGUGAUGAAGGCCUUAGGGUUGUAAAGCUCUUUUACCAGGGAUGAUAAUGACAGUACCUGGAGAAUAAGCGCCGGCUAACUCCGUG